CGCAACGGCCGUCAGUAGGUUUUGUAGUUGGCAAACGGCAGCGAAAACGAGCGAACUGAAUGCAUGCUUCGCGCAAAGUGUCAAGUUAUACCGAACUGAACGGACGUGCUUUUGCGGCGACGCGUGAAACGAAAUAGGAAUCUAUAAGUGUGUCAAAAGAAUCGCUGAAAUAAAUAAUUCACGAUUUUUCUAUAAAAUACUCAGAAACGCUCAAAAAAGAAUUUAUAUGUUACUCCCAUUUGUAUUCAUUUGCGAAUUUUCAGGAAAUAAAGAAGAAAUACACUUCACCUGCGCCGCGCUGUUUGUUCGGGUUUUAAUUUGCGGUUCCUAUUGAACUUCGUUAAGGUGUAGUUAAAAUUUGUA